rnacentral:rRNA from 1 species
UACGUAGGGGGCGAGCGUUGUCCGGAAUCAUUGGGCGUAAAGCGCGUGUAGGCGGCCCGGUAAGUCCGCUGUGAAAGUCCAGGGCUCAACCCAGGAAGUGCAUUCGAAACUAGCUGGCUAGAAGAUGGUAGAGGAAGGUGGAAUUCCAAGUGUAGAGGUGAAAUUCGUAGAUAUUUGGAGGAAUACCGGCGGCGAAGGCGGCCUUCUGGACCAUUCUUGACACUGAGACACGAAAGCGUGGGUAGCAAACAGG